rnacentral:rRNA from 1 species
UGGGGAAUUUUGGACAAUGGGCGAAAGCCUGAUCCAGCAAUGCCGCGUGUGUGAAGAAGGCCUUCGGGUUGUAAAGCACUUUUGUCCGGAAAGAAAUCCUUGGCUCUAAUACAGUCGGGGGAUGACGGUACCGGAAGAAUAAGCACCGGCUAACUACGUGCCAGCAGCCGCGGUAAUACGUAGGGUGCAAGCGUUAAUCGGAAUUACUGGGCGUAAAGCGUGUGCAGGCGGUUUGCUAAGACCGAUGUGAAAUCCCCGGGCUCAACCUGGGAACUGCAUUGGUGACUGGCAGGCUAGAGUAUGGCAGAGGGGGGUAGAAUUCCACGUGUAGCAGUGAAAUGCGUAGAGAUGUGGAGGAAUACCGAUGGCGAAGGCAGCCCCCUGGGCCAAUACUGACGCUCAUGCACGAAAGCGUGGGGAGCAAACAGGAUUAGAUACCCUGGUAGUCCACGCCCUAAAACGAUGUCAACUAGUUGUUGGGGAUUCAUUUCCUUAGUAACGUAGCUAACGCGUGAAGUUGACCGCCUGGGGAGUACGGUCGCAAGAUUAAAACUCAAAGGAAUUGACGGGGUCAUAGCUG